rnacentral:rRNA from 1 species
UACGUAUGGUGCAAGCGUUAUCCGGAUUUACUGGGCGUAAGGGGAGCGCAGGCGGCGCGCCAAGUCUGAUGUGAAACCCCGGGGCUCAACCCCGGGCAUGCAUUGGAAACUGGCGGGCUGGAGUGCCGGAGAGGUAAGCGGAAUUCCUAGUGUAGCGGUGAAAUGCGUAGAUAUUAGGAGGAACACCAGUGGCGAAGGCGGCUUACUGGACGGCAACUGACGCUGAGGCUCGAAAGCGUGGGGGGCAAACAGG